UCCGUGGAAGCGUUGCUGUUUCUCCGGCGAUGGCGAGUACAUCGUGGCCGGUUCUGCCCGGCAGCACGCGCUCUACAUCUGGGAGAAGAGCAUCGGCAACCUGGUGAAGAUCCUUCAUGGAACCAGAGGAGAGCUGCUGCUGGAUGUGGCGUGGCAUCCUGUCCGUCCAAUUAUCGCUUCCAUCUCCAGUGGAGUGGUGUCCAUCUGGGCUCAGAACCAAGUGG